UACGUAGGGGGCAAGCGUUGUCCGGAAUCAUUGGGCGUAAAGAGCGCGUAGGCGGCCCUGUAAGUCCGCUGUGAAAGUCAAGGGCUCAACCCUUGGAUGCCGGUGGAUACUGCAGGGCUAGAGUCCGGAAGAGGCGAGUGGAAUUCCUGGUGUAGCGGUGAAAUGCGCAGAUAUCAGGAAGAACACCCGUGGCGAAGGCGGCUCUCUGGACCGAGACUGACGCUGAGGCGCGAAAGCGUGGGGAGCAAACAGG
rnacentral:rRNA from 1 species